rnacentral:lncRNA from 1 species
AGGGUUUGAUUGUGAUCCCGGGAAAACAAUCGGGGCGGUUCUAGUCGGUGAGCCUGGGAAAACCGACCGAGUUCGUUGUGAGCUCGUAAAACAACAAGUUUGGUUGUGAGCUUGGAAAACAACCGGCUGUAAUCCAAGGGGGUUAUAGUGAAUUCCCAAGUGAGACUUGGGGAGUGGAUGUAGGAGCAAGGGUUAGCUCCGAACCACUAUAAAACCUUGUGUUUGUGUUGGAUUGUCUCUCUUCUUCUUCCCCUCACAUCACUCACAGCACUUAGCAUUAAUUAAAUAACUUGCAAUAGUUUUUAAUUAAUCAACCACAUCGUUUUAAUUAUUCAAAUUAUUUUAAAACCCAAUUCACCCCCCCCCUCUUGGGUUGUCUAU